AUUGCUUAGGCUGCAACUCGCCUGCAUGAAGUCGGAAUUGCUAGUAAUCGUAGGUCAGCAUACUACGGUGAAUACGUUCCCGGGCCUUGUACACACCGCCCGUCAAACCAUGAGAGUUGGCAACACCCGAAGUCGGUAGUCUAACCGCAAGGAGGACGCCGCCGAAGGUGGGGUUGAUGAUUAGGGUUAAGUCGUAACAAGGUAUC
rnacentral:rRNA from 1 species